GGCAACUUGCCUCCGAUUGGGGGUGCUGUUUAUGUACGAACUUAUGUCUUUGGUUAUUGCCCCACUUUUUGUGGGUCUAGUAAUCUUACUAGUUGACCAUUGGUUAGAUGAUUAGCAGAUAACCAUGCAAGUUGUCCUAGCCCACACGUCUAUCCGCAAGACGAAAAA
rnacentral:ncRNA from 1 species